GCUGUGGUUCUGGCGUAGGCUGGUGGCUACAGCUCCGAUUCGACCCCUAGCCUGGGAAUCUCCAUAUGCCGUGGGAGCGGCCCAAAGAAAUAGCAAAAAGACAAAAAAAAAAAAAAGAUCUGGAAGUGUGUUUCUUGCCUCCUUCCUUCAGAAUCCCCAACCAGUGGACACGCAGGUUAACCCAGUUCCCAACCUCACAUUAGAAUUUCUAGGGAAAGCCUGGAUUUGAGGUGAAGACUUAUUUUUUUUAAGGUGAGAGGGAGAGGCUAGUUCUAAUCUAUCAAACUGAUUAGCUCAAAAUAUUUCCCCCCUUGGAUUUCAGUAGCCUAGAGAAAUCCACUUCCUAAUGAGGAAUUUUAGUGGCUAUAAAUUGAUAUGCAGAUCUAUGCAAAUAAUAUGCAACUCCUCCUGAGCCUCUGGAGACAGGUUUUUGUUUUCAACAGGAUUACUUUAAUGGGCCAAUUUAAUUGGGUAGAAAAAGCCCUUUGCAAAUGGGAUUUUCAUAUUAAUAAGAGCUGCCAUGGAUUGAAUAUCUGGCACUUGAUGUAUCUAUUCAUAAGCCUCCAACACAGAACUGGGCAACCUCCAGAGAGCACCUUGCAGUUGGAACCUAGCUCUGCCUACCAAGCCAAGGAAUAUGAAAGCCAUGGUCUUCAAUAAUGCUCUGCUUCUACAACUAGGCUCAGGCAUUUCACCCAAAGAGCCAAGUUCAAAUGCUAAAAUAUCAGCACCAAAUUCUUUUCUUUUCUGGCCAUACCUGUGGCAUAUGGAAUUUCCCAGGCCAGGAAUCUAAUCCAAGCUGCAGCCUUGACCUAUGCCACAGCUGCAACAAUGCCAGAUCCUUAACCCACUGUGUCAGGCUGGAGACCAAACCCGUGCCUCAGCAGCCCCCAGAACCAGUUUCUUAAUUUCAACUUUAGGAAACUUAGUAAUGAUAAGCAUUUUUAUUAUUAUUGUCUUUUUAGGGCUGCAUCUGUGGCACAUGGAAGUUCCCAGACUAGGGGUCGAAUCGGAACUGUGACUGUGCCAGCGUACACCACAGCAACUCAGGAUCCAAGCCUUAUCCAUGACCUACACCAUAGCUCAUGGCAAUGCCAAAUCCUUAACCCACUGAGCAAGGUCAGGGAUCGAACCUGAGUCCUCAUGGAUUGAUAAGAGUUUUCUUUUUUUUUUUUGUCUUUUGUCUUUUGUCUUUUUGUUGUUGUUGUUGCUAUUUCUUGGGCCGCUCCCGCGGCAUAUGGAGGUUCCCAGGCUAGGGGUUGAAUCGGAGCUGUAGCCCCCGGCCUACGCCAGAGCCACAGCAACGCGGGAUCCGAGCCGCGUCUGCAACCUACACCACAGCUCACGGCAACGCCGGAUCGUUAACCCACUGAGCAAGGGCAGGGGACCGAACCCGCAACUUCAUGGUUCCUAGUCGGAUUCGUUAACCACUGCGCCACGACGGGAACUCCCGAUAAGAGUUUUUAAAAACAUUUUCUUUUUCUGAUGACAAAAUAAUAACUAUUGACGGGCAGAUAAAAAUAAAAAGUGGUGAGUUCCCAUUGUGGCACAAUGGAAACGAAUCCGGCUAGUAUCCUUGAGGAUGAGGGUUCCAUCCCUGGCCUUGCUCAGUAGGUCAGGGAUCUGGCAUUGCUGUGGGCUGUGGUGUAGGUCACAGACGCAGCUCAGAUCCUAUGUUGCUGUGGCUAUGGUGUAGGCCAGCAGCUACAGCUUGAUUAGACCCAUAGCUUGGGAACUUGCAUAUGGUGCAGGUACGGCCCUUAAAAAAAAAGCAAAAUUAAAAUAAAAGCAAAAUGGCUCAGAUUUGAUCCCUGGCCUGGAAACUUCCAUGGGUGCAGCAGAAAAAAAAAAAAAAAAAAGUGCACUUUCUGGGUUUGAGCUCAGGUCCACCACUUCCCAACAGUGAGAAGCAGGCCAAUGACUCUUAACCACCUUCUGUGUCCCAGUUUCCCCGUCUGCAGUCUGGAGACCUCUCACAGGCUGACAUGAGGAUUACCUGAGUUUAUUAAUGAAAAGCUCUUGAUACCUUUGAUUUUCACAUUGCACCAUCUUUAACCAAUAAGGAUCCUUUUAAGCUGGUUUUGUGGCCUUUUGAAAUGACCCUAUUAUUCUUAGAUGGCUUCCUUGCUUUUUGCACAGCUGUGCCAGACAUUUCCUUCAUCAGACCUGGAACCAGGCAUGUUUGCACUGUCUCUGGUUACCUCUCUGAGGAAUGGUUUUGGAGGCCACAAUCUGAGUGGUACAAUGUGCUGUAUUACUGUUCAGUCUUUUUCAUUGUUUCUAGGCAUAUCCAGUGGCAAAAAGAAAAAAAAAAUUGUAUUUCUGCUGAUACUUAGAAUUCAAAUUUAUCAUUCCAAGGCUUUUAUAUAACCUUGUUAGAUUUUAUCCUUGUAUCUGUUUUCCUUUACAAUGAAAAUUUUGGUUUCUAAUCUCAUUAACAUAAUUAUAAAAUUCACAGACCUAUAGCUAGACUGAUCAAAAGAGAGCGGGCUCAGAUUACUAGAAUCAGGAAUGAAAGGGAUAGCCAAGGGGAUAGCCAGGUGGAGAAAUAAGAGGAGUUUGGGGUUAACACAUAUACAUUAUUAUAUAUAAUACAGAUGGAUACACAACAGAGACCUACUGUAUAGCACAGGGAGCUAUAUUCAAUAUUUUAUAAUAACAUAAUGAAAAAGAAUAUAUAUCUAGAAUUCCUCUUCAAAUUCUUUUUCAUUAUAAAUUAUAAAAUACUGAGUGUAUAUAUAUAUAUACACACACAUAUAUAUAACUAAUCACUUUGCUGUACACCUGAAACAUUGUUUUACUUUUUUCCUUUUGUUUCUCUCUCUCUCUCUUUUUUUUUUUUGCCUUUUUUUUUUUUUUUUUUUUUUGCCUUUUCUAGGGCCGCUCCUGCGGCAUAUGGAGGUUCCCAGGCUAGGGGUCGAAUCGGAGCUGCAGCUGCCAGUCUACACCAGAACCACAACAGCGCAGGAUCCGAGCCUUGUCUGCAACCUACACCACCGCUCGUGGCAACGCCGGAUCCUUAACCCACUGAGCAAGGCCAGGGAUCAAACCCGCAACCUCAUGGUUCCUAGUCAGAUUUGUUAACCCCUAUGCCAUGACGGGAACUCCAUCUCUUUUUUUUUUUGUUUUUUAUUUGUGUUUCUUUUUCCCCCUGUAUUCUUUUUUUUUCUCUGGAACAUUAUAUAUCAACUCUAUUUUGAUUAAAAAUAAAAAUUUAAUAAAGGUUAUAUAAAAAAAUCAAUCAGUCCCAUACAUCAUAUUAGGAUAAAGGAUAAAAGCCACAUGAUUAUAUCAACAGAUGAAGAAUGGUAGACCAGGCAGGCAGAAUUAGAGCUUUUAUUCAUGAGUGGGGCUUAUCAUUGGGCUGACACACACAACUAACUCCUUUAUUCUUCCCUGGCAUUUUGUUCCAUCUCCUUAGCAGAGCUCCCUGAUAUUUUGCCCGGCAGUGAGCUUACACCUUUUUGCCUGUAAUGAAAAGGUGUUGAGGUAGGAAUAUCUGCUGUCUCAGAGGUCUCUCUGGCUUUGCUGUCUGCUCUUCUUUUUCUUCUUUGAAGUCAUCUCUGAAAAUACUAAAGAUCAUGACUUCUUCCAUUUUACUUUUUGGAACAUCUUCAUCUACUCUGUGUGAAUCUUGCCAAAAUCACUCAUUUAUUGGACGUUUCCAGUUCAUUCUCUUUUCUUUUUUGUGCUUUUAAUUGUAAUGAGAAAGAAAUUCACGGUUUUCGAAAACCAAAGUUUCACUGGAGAAAUUUAUUCUCUGAGAUAAUAAAUGGUACUUAAGGGUUAUAGCAUUUUGGUUCUGGUAAGAAAUCAUGUUAGUUUUCCCCUGGAGAAGUAGUUUGUCAGGAAUCCAAAUGUAGCAGCUGUGAUAAUCAGAAAGGGUCCAUUGUGAUGGCUGGAGGAGAGUGAAUUCUUACAGCUAAAUCUGACUUCCCUGAAUUUUACAAAAAGGAAACCUGCAGCUCAGAGAGAAGGUUCAUGGAGUUCCCCUUUGUGGCUCAGAGGUUAACAAACCUGACUAGGAUCCAUGAAAAUGUGGGUUCCAUCCCCGGCCUCACUCAGUGGGUUAAGGAUCCAGUGUUGCUGUGAGCUGUAGUAUAGGUUGCAGACAAGUCUUGGAUCCUGCAUUGCUGUAUCUGUGGUGUAGGCUGGCAGCUGUAGAACCUAUUUGACCCCUGGCCUGGGAAUUCCAUAUGCUGCAGGCACGGCCCUAAAAAGCAAAAAAAAAAAAAAAAGAAGUUCAAGGUCAUGCUGUGAGUUACUGACAGACCUUGGGGGAGCAUCCAUGAUUCCCAGUCUUUGCUUUUUCUAGCUUACCGUAUGAUUAUGGAUUAUGCAUGGGAACCUGUUCUUAUGUGCAUUCGUGUGUUAUAUGGCAUCUGUCAUAGCAGUUGGGGCACAAUAGGUAUUAGACUCACGGGCUCUGUGGUAGAGCAUAUCGGGCUUGAUCUCCAGCUAUGAAACCUCAUGCAAGUUGAGGAGAAUUUCUCCAUAUUAGUGCCUUCCUGUGCAAAUGAAGACAAUAAGAGUACUCAUUAUAUAGAUUUGUUAUGUGAAGUGCUUUUUAUAGUAUUUUGCACAAGCAGUUGCUCUACAUGUGUUAGACUUACUGGAUCUGGAAAGGACCUCAGGAGCCAUCUAGUUCAGUCUCCUAGUCAGGGCUUCAGUCUAUCUACAAUGUCUCCAUCAAGAGAUCGAUUGGUCUCUUCUUGAACCCCUAAAGUCAUGGGAACACUCAGUACCAUCAGAGGCAGCCCAUUUAAUUUAGAUGGUUUUAAAGUUUGUUUCUUCCACUUAAAACUUUAUUUUAUUUAUUUAGGUCUUUUUUGGGCUUCACCUGCGGUAUAUGGAAAUUCCUCAGCUAGGAAUCAAAUCAGAGCUGCAGCUGGAGGCCUGUGCCACAGCAACACUGGAUCUGAGCCACAUCUGUGAACUGCACCGCAGCUUGUGGCAAUGCUGGAUCCUUAAACCACUGAUUGAGGCCAGGGAUCAAACCUGCAUCCUCAUGGACACUAUGUCAGGUUCUUAACACACUAAGCCACAGUGAGAACUCUUGUUUGUUUGUUUUUUCUGGCUGCACCAGUGUCAUAUGGAAGUUCCCCAGUCAGGGAUUAAAUCUCAGCCACAGCUGUGAUCUGUGCUGCAGCUGUGGCAAUGCUGGAUCAUUAACUCAUAGUGCCACAGCAGGAACUCCUGUUCUAGUGUUUUUAGAGUUAAUAAGUUAGAGAUAAGAAAAAGGAGAUAUUGGUUUAAUCAUCAUUUACAUAAUGCAUUUUAAGAGCUUACAUAAAUUAUGCAUUAUUGACCUUUAAAUUAACUCAGGCUUAAUGAGAUGGUUUCAUUAUGUUUGAAGACAAUAUAAUUAUUUUAUUAUGUUUUUAAAAAAUUAUUUUCUAAGCUUGUUUGUGCUUUGUCUCCUAUCAAGGCCCAAGUGUAUCAUCUUCUUAUUGAAUAUAUAUUUUAUCUGUUUUCUGGUUUGAGGUUUGCCGAAGUCUGAUCUGUUGAAGUAUGAUGUUAAUAAAUUGUUUGAUUUUCUAGGGCACUCUACAACAGCUUUUGCUUUAAUAGAGACUUAUAUUUCCAAAAGAGUUAAACUUUGGAAUGGAAAGUGGAUUCUUUAAAAAUGUAAUGUGUGGAGUUCCCUUGUGGUGUAGCAGGUUAAGGAUCUGGCAUUGACACAAUGGUGGCUCGGGUGUCUGCCCCAGCUCAGGUUCAAUCCCUGGCGGGCCUGGGAACUUCCACAUGCCACAGAUGUGACUGAAAAAAAAAAAAAAAACGUAGUUUGCAGCAGGAAUCUUUAUCAUCCUGGGCGCAAAUUGAAUAAUAAAUCUUGAGCUAAGCUGAGGCUCAGCCUCGGGCCCUCUAGUGUUGGAUGGUGAAAUGGCAGAUUCGUUUUUGAACAGGACAUUGUAUCCCAGGGAUUCCCAAGGUCCCCAGCAGAUGCCAGGAAAUCUAAAGGGAGGGACAAGGAGGCUGAACAGGCUGGACUCUGGCCUCAUCCCCUUCAGCUACGGAAGCUCCAGUUUUAUAUAUUUUCUUCAUUUUGGGACACUGCUUAGCUCUUACAUGAUAAAAUUGUUAUUUUGGGAGUUUCUGUUGUGGCUCAGCAGAAAUGAAUCUGACUAGCAUCGAUGAGGACACAGGUUCAAUCCCUGGCCUUGCUCGGUAGAUUAAGGAUCUGGUGGUUGCUGUGGCUGUGGUGUAGGCCGGCAGCUGCAGCUCCAAUUCGACCUCUUGCCUGGUAAACUCCAUAUGCUGCUGGUGAGGUCUUAAAAAGACAAGAGACAAAAAAAAAAAAAAAAAAAAAAA
rnacentral:lncRNA from 1 species